rnacentral:rRNA from 1 species
GACGAACGCUGGCGGCGUGCUUAACACAUGCAAGUCGAACGGAAAGGCCCUGCUUGCAGGGUACUCGAGUGGUGAACGGGUGAGUAACACGUGGGUGAUCUGCCCUGCACUUCGGGAUAAGCCUGGGAAACUGGGUCUAAUACCGGAUAGGAGCCAUUUUUAGUGUGAUGGUUGGAAAGUUUUUUCGGUGUAGGAUGAGCUCGCGGCCUAUCAGCUUGUUGGUGGGGUAAUGGCCUACCAAGGCGGCGACGGGUAGCCGGCCUGAGAGGGUGGACGGCCACAUUGGGACUGAGAUACGGCCCAGACUCCUACGGGAGGCAGCAGUGGGGAAUAUUGCACAAUGGGCGCAAGCCUGAUGCAGCGACGCCGCGUGGGGGAUGACGGCCUUCGGGUUGUAAACUCCUUUCGCUAGGGACGAAGCUUUUUGUGACGGUACCUAGAGAAGAAGCACCGGCUAACUACGUG